AUUGAAGGUAAGGCUUUUGGGGAUUGCUAUAUAUCUGAGGCCUUCUGAAGGUAAGCAGCGUCUUUCCCUUAUUUUUUGUGCUCAUUGUUGUGUUUGAGUGAAUCCUAACUUGCUGUGGCCUGGAAUCUUGGUGCUCUCUGUCACUGUUGUGCUUACCAUUGUGUUACAGAAGGGACCCUUUAAAGGUCAUCUAGUCCAACUCCCCUGCAGUGAACAGGACCAUCUACAGCUAGAUCAGGUUCCUCAGGGUCCCAUCCAGCCUUUCCUUGAAUGCCUCUGGGGUCAGGGCUUUCACCACCUCUUUGGUCAACCUGUUCUAGUGCUUCAGUAUCCUUAUCACAAAAAACUUCCCUGUUAUAUUCUCUCUAGUUUGCAACCAUUUCCCCUUGUCCUAUCACAACAGAUUCUGCUAAAGAGUCUGCCCCCUUCUUUCUUAUAGUCUUCUUCUAGAUGUUGAAAGGCCCCUGUCACAUAUCCCCAGAGCCAUCUCUGUAAUAGACUAAACAGCUCUAACUCUCUCAGCCUGUUCUUGUUCCAUCCCUUGGAUCAUUUUGUGAUCCCGUCUCUUCUUCCACUGCUGGUCCAUUUUCUUCUUGUUCUCCAGAUUGACCAGUUAGUCUCACUCAGCCGUGCAAGACUUUUGCCUUCCUUUCCUGACUUCCUACACCUGGAGAUGGAGGGCUCUUGUGCCCUAAGAAAAGCUUCCUUAAAGAUCUUCCAGCUCUGUUCCUCUCCCUUUGUCCUUGAGGACAGAUUCCCAGAGGAUUUUGUUAAAUAACUUCCUGAAGAGCAUUCCGAGAUUGAGCAUCCUGGUUUUAAUUUUUCUCUCACAAAUCUCUCAGGAGUGUGAACUCCAUGAGUGCAUAGUCACCGCAGCCUGCAGGCAUCUUCCAAUCCUGAUGUCACCAGUCAGUUCACUUGGAUUGGAGCCUCCUGUGUUACCUACCACUAGCUAUAUGGCUUUUCCAGCAGAUGUCAGGGUGGUUGAAGUCCCCCAGCAGGAUGAGAGCUAGUGUUACUUCCUGUAGCUGGAGGAAGAAGGCUUUCAUCAACCGGCUCCACUUUAUCAGCAAAAGAAACCAAGAAAGAAAAAAAAAAAUGGAAUGUCUAGAUAAAUUUCAAAUAAUAUAAGAGAGCUACAGAACAUCAAAGCUAUCUGUAAUCGCAACUCCACCUGGAAGCUGGAUCUGUUGAAAGAAAGAGAAAGAACAAUAUGGUGAAGCACUGAGAAGAAAUGAAGACAUUCAACCUGUAAAUAGCAGAGUCCUUUCUUCCUCAUUUGUCAGGAAGGGAAUAAUCAGCAUAAAUUACACUCCUGGACUUAGUAUUUAUUUCCUUUUUAUUUUUUAUAUAAUUCACAUGCAAUGUGCAAUACAGAAAAGGAGGAAAUUAAAACAUGAGCACAUAUUGUAGCUUAAAUGUCUCCAGAAUAAACUUAGGUUUUGU
ensembl:lncRNA